UACGAGGGGGGCUAGCGUUGCUCGGAAUCACUGGGCGUAAAGCGCACGUAGGCGGGUUGUUAAGUCGGGGGUGAAAUCCUGGAGCUCAACUCCAGAACUGCCUUCGAUACUGGCGACCUUGAGUCCGGGAGAGGUGAGUGGAACUCCGAGUGUAGAGGUGAAAUUCGUAGAUAUUCGGAAGAACACCAGUGGCGAAGGCGGCUCACUGGCCCGGUACUGACGCUGAGGUGCGAAAGCGUGGGGAGCAAACAGG
rnacentral:rRNA from 1 species